rnacentral:rRNA from 1 species
GACGAACGCUGGCGGCGUGCUUAACACAUGCAAGUCGAACGGUGAAGCUCCAGCUUGCUGGAGUGGAUCAGUGGCGAACGGGUGAAUAACACGUGAGCAACCUGCCCCUGACUCUGGAAUAAGCGCUGGAAACGGCGUCUAAUACUGGAUACGAGAAGGGUCCGCAUGGGCACUUUCUGGAAAGUUUUUCGGUUGGGGAUGGGCUCGCGGCCUAUCAGCUUGUUGGUGAGGUAAUGGCUCACCAAGGCGACGACGGGUAGCCGGCCUGAGAGGGCGACCGGCCACACUGGGACUGAGACACGGCCCAGACUCCUACGGGAGGCAGCAGUGGGGAAUAUUGCACAAUGGGCGAAAGCCUGAUGCAGCGACGCCGCGUGAGGGAUGACGGCCUUCGGGUUGUAAACCUCUUUCAGCAGGGAAGAAGCGAAAGUGACGGUACCUGCAGAAGAAGCACCGGCUAACUACGUG